GACAGAGGUGCCGAGCGUUAGGCGGAAUCACUGGGCUUAAAGCGUGUGUAGGCGGAUCGUUAAGUGCCUUGUGAAAUCCCACGGCUCAACCGUGGAACUGCUUGGCAUACUGGCGAUCUUGAGCCACUUAGGGGCUACCGGAACAAAUGGUGGAGCGGUGAAAUGCGUAGAUAUCAUUUGGAACGCCAAUGGGGAAAACAGGUAGCUGGGAGUGUGCUGACGCUGAGACACGAAAGCCAGGGGAGCAAACGGG
rnacentral:rRNA from 1 species